UACAGAGGGUGCGAGCGUUGUUCGGAAUUAUUGGGCGUAAAGCGCGUGUAGGCGGUCUGUUAUGUCGGGUGUGAAAGCCCUCAGCUUAACUGAGGAAGUGCGCCCGAAACUGGCAGACUUGAGUGCCGGAGAGGAUAGCGGAACACCCGGUGUAGAGGUGAAAUUCGUAGAUAUCGGGUAGAACACCAGUGGCGAAGGCGGCUAUCUGGACGGACACUGACGCUGAGACGCGAAAG
rnacentral:rRNA from 1 species